CUCUGAAAAUGGCAAAACUACCGAAAGGUAGUGACGCAAAGUUACCGGUCUAAGGGGCACAGCCCUAUGACAGCGGAACCUCCAGA
rnacentral:ncRNA from 1 species